AAUCGUGAAAAAAAUGUCUUGCUUUUUCAAAGAAAUACUCUUUUAUAUGUUGGUAGUUAAAUAUGUAAUUCUCUAACGUGUAUUAUUUUUCGAUUAUAUUUAAAUACAAAUUCUGUAAAAAAAGGUUCAUAAAAUUUCCUUAUAUUUAAACUAUACAUUGUUAAGUUUAUUAAUUUUAUAUUUAACAAUAUUUUUAUAUGACUUGAAACACUUAUGGUUAAAAAGAAAAAUUAUUUUUUAUUAAAACUCUAGACAACUAACGAUAAAGUUUUGUUUCUCUCUUGUUAUAUCUAUUAUAAAAUUCGAGAUUCAUUUCUUACAUGAAAAACAGAGAUGAUCUGGUAUGAAAAUAGAUGGUAAAGUAAUCUUGUGGAAUGUGGAGGAAAAUGUGAGUCGGCAAUCCAAAAAUAUACGGAAGAAAAACAAGCGACCUUAUUUGUAGAGAGAAUAUUAAUCCGUUUUCUCCACUCAACCAAAUAAUAAGAAUUUGAAUGAUUAUGUUACACCUUCCAAACAGUAUUGCUAUUUAAUUACAGGCGCACCAUCAUCCAUACGCAGAAUUUAUCACGAUCAAAAGAAAUGUACGCUCGAACAGGUUCCACAGGCGUUACCAAAAUACGUAGCUUUAAAAGACCUAUUCUUAUCGCAAGACAAAUAUAUUAAACCCACUUUGAUAAAUCGCGAGCAAUCGUAUGAAUCUUUUUAUGAUCUCGGAUUGAGCGCAGAUUACAGUUUCAUAGAAGGAAACAAUUGCAAAAACACGGGAAGAGAGUUUGCUGCAAUGCAAGUAACAAAUUGUAUCGGGCGUGAAUUAAAUACAAUUUACACGAAGACUGGAACUAACAUCGGUAAUUCAUGUUUGGAUACGAAACCCUCUUUGCACAGUUGUGAUCCAGUACGUAACGCGAAAAAUGGUGAGUAUUUAAUGAAAGAAUAUGCAUAUCUAGUAAAAUAAUGUUAAUAAUUUAAAUACAAUAUAUAUAUGUACAUAUAUGUAUAUAAAUAUGUAUAGAUUAUUUCAAUUUAAAGAAAUGUUGACGACUGUUCAUUGCCUUAAAACAGAACAUGAUAAUAGAUGAUAUAUGUAUUAUAUAUAAGCCCUCAAAGCUCUUAUUGUUAGUAGAAUGUAUGGUACUUUCGUCUUUGGUAUAAUUAAAUCAUAAGAUGAUCCAAUGUGCAAAGAUUCUCUCGCAUCUCCACCGAGAUUAUUUCACAAAAUCUUAAAAUAGAUGCGUCGCUAUGCGGCAUCUUGGACGAAACGCGAUGAUUCAUGCGUGACCCACCUUCUUCACGAUUAUACCGAUGUUCUUGGCGCGAAAGUGCGGAAUGGCACUUCCUUCCUUGCGUGCAUCGUAACCAUUAACGUUCGCUUUUUAUUGAUUCUGACAAUAAAUACAUAAAGCGCGUUGAGAAUAACUGAUGUAGAUUAAUUGAGACUAAAAGUAUACGUUACGCUUAAAGCUACGCAUCACUAAUGCAAUAAAUUGCUCGAGAGUACCGGACAGCAUACAAGUAACAUCAUCGGUGCAUGUUUUGCUCCGAUUCACAAUCGAUGUUAAUGGUUAGAUAAAAUUAUUUUCAAUGCUUAAAAAUAGAAGUCUACAAUUAUUUAUAGCACGAGUGUAUGAAAUAGCUUUAGGGUACGAAGAUUGUUUUCAAGAUCCAGAAAGUUUUCCGAAUGAUAUUCAAACUCUUUUGUGAACUCUUAAGGACAGAAUUCGAGGUGUUACAAGACGGUCCCCCACGUUGGCAGCUACACUGAUGUGCGUGCACAUGUUUUUAGAAUGUGGUAUGUAACUGCUAAGCAGUUCGAAUUCACAAGCGCAGUGCGCAGGCGGUACGCUCUCGAAGUUGCGAUCAGGGGCUGCUCGCGUGGCUAAACUUGGCUGAAGCUAUGCACAUACAACAAGAAUGUUUUCUACCGCCAAAUUCCACUAAGAAAAAGAGAAUAAACCGAAUAGACCGGGACGAAAAGUAAAUAAAGAGAAAGAGAGAAAAUGGCCAAAUUACGUCAAUCCUAGAACACACACGCUCGUACAACAUGUACAUUAUAAAUAUAUAAUAAUAAUAAUAAUAA